rnacentral:rRNA from 1 species
AUUGAACGCUGGCGGCAUGCUUUACACAUGCAAGUCGAACGGUAACAGGCCGCAAGGUGCUGACGAGUGGCGAACGGGUGAGUAAUGCAUCGGAACGUGCCCAGUCGUGGGGGAUAACGCAGCGAAAGCUGCGCUAAUACCGCAUACGAUCUAUGGAUGAAAGCGGGGGACCGUAAGGCCUCGCGCGAUUGGAGCGGCCGAUGUCAGAUUAGGUAGUUGGUGGGGUAAAGGCUCACCAAGCCAACGAUCUGUAGCUGGUCUGAGAGGACGACCAGCCGGACUGGGACUGAGACACGGCCCAGACUCCUACGGGAGGCAGCAGGGGGGAAUUUUGGACAAUGGGCGCAAGCCUGAUCCAGCAAUGCCGCGUGCAGGAAGAAGGCCUUCGGGUUGUAAACUGCUUUUGUACGGAACGAAACGGUCCUGGUUAAUACCUGGGGCUAAUGACGGUACCGUAAGAAUAAGCACCGGCUAACUACGUGCCAGCCGCCGCCGUAAAAC